GAUGAACGCUGGCGGCGUGCCUAAUACAUGCAAGUCGAGCGAACAGACGAGGAGCUUGCUCCUCUGACGUUAGCGACGGACGGGUGAGUAACACGUGGAUAACCUACCUAUAAGACUGGGAUAACUUCGGGAAACCGGAGCUAAUACCGGAUAAUAUAUUGAACCGCAUGGUUCAAUAGUGAAAGACGGUUUUGCUGUCACUUAUAGAUGGAUCCGCGCCGCAUUAGCUAGUUGGUAAGGUAACGGCUUACCAAGGCGACGAUGCGUAGCCGACCUGAGAGGGUGAUCGGCCACACUGGAACUGAGACACGGUCCAGACUCCUACGGGAGGCAGCAGUAGGGAAUCUUCCGCAAUGGGCGAAAGCUUGACGGAGCAACGCCGCGUGAGUGAUGAAGGUCUUCGGAUCGUAAAACUCUGUUAUUAGGGAAGAACAAAUGUGUAAGUAACUAUGCACGUCUUGACGGUACCUAAUCAGAAAGCCACGGCUAACUACGUG
rnacentral:rRNA from 1 species